GGAAGGAAGGAGGAAGCAGGCAGCAGACCCUCUGCCCAGACCAGACCAUCCAGAACAGCUAUUGCUAGCCUGAUCCAUUUUUUGAAGGGCGGUGCGUUUGUGCCUCACAGCGCAUGCCCAGAACAGAGCAAGGGAGGCACGAACAACAGGACCCGGCGGCCAUCUUGGGCGGCCAGAAGCGGCCGCCCCGAAGACACCAGCUAAAGUUUAUUGGAAUUUGUAUCAAGCUACCUUGUCUGGAGGAGAGUCCAUAUCUGGCUAAGAACAGCCUUGCUGGAUCAGGCCCAAGGCUUACCUAGUCCAGCAUCCUUUUUCACAUUAGGGCCCACCAGAUGCCUCUGAGAAGCCCACAGCAAGAGGUUCUGUCUGUGUUAGAUUCUCCAUAACAGAAGAAACAUAUGAGAGUUAUACAAAGGAGCAAAAAUGCGAAAGUAAGAGAGAAAGAAAGAAAGAAAGAAAGAAAGAAUGCAAAAAGUGUCUGAUUGAAAAAAGGACCCUAAAAUGUCUGCCUGACAGAGUUAAGCAAUGAGUAAGGUUAGGGAGAUGACAAUGCAGAAGCAGCUCAAGCUUCAGAUAUGAAGUUUCAAGAAAAACUUUGCUCAAGAAAAGGUACUGAGAAGGAACUUGCAAAGGAGACAGGAAUGCAGCGUAAUUAACAGAGAGGCAGAAGAGACUGUUCCAAACACUGGCAGCAGUGUGACAGAAGGCAAGGAGUUAGACAUGGGAGACACAGACAAAUCAGGCUGACAGCAGAACAGCUUAUGCAGAACAGGAGUGAGAAAUGAGUGGAAGGGGUAGAAAAGGGAGACAGAUUGGUAAGGAGAGAGAGAUGGAGAAAUUGAAAAGCAAAGACUCAAAUCAAGAAGCUGAUGGAAAGCAUAAAAAGAAACCAGACAUGAAGGGAAGUGUGUGUGUGUGUGUGUGUGUGACAUGGCCAUAGCAACAGGAGGAAAAAAGCACAUUAGAAGCCCUCAGAAUGGACUGAAAGGGUGUUAUUGGCAAUCAAGGGGAAGCCCAUGGGAACAUUAUAGCCAUAGAUGACAACAGAGAGGUAAACCCACAUUUGCCACCCAGUGCACACCCAACAGGGAGCUGCAGCCAGUCACAGCUCCUUAUUUGGCUAUGAUGCACAAAUUUGCAAACAUUAUUCUUUCCAUUUUUGGUACAUUUAAAAUAUUGUUAGUAUACACCUAAAAAUGUAAUAUGUGAAAUGGCACAGCAGAGAAGAAAGAAAGACAUUUGGCUCCCACCCACAUUGAGCCAAUAGUAUUUAUUGCCUCUUAAGUGCUCUAUUUGCUUCAGCAAUAAACAUCACACAAUAGUCACA